UUUAAAUAGAAAAAUAUUAUCAUGGAUGUUGUGAUAAUUGUACAAAAUGAUCAUCAUAAAUGUUAAAUUCGUGUCAUUAUGGAAUAUUCGAGUAGAUGCAUUGUAUUGAUUUACAUUCUGAAAUUGCUACCUUAGCGAUCGCGAAAAUACUGGUACAUUCCAUAGAUGAUUCAUUGCCGCCCUACCCCGUAUUAUUCGAGGCUACUGCAACGCUCUGCUUUUCUUUAUUUUUAUUAUCGACGAUUCUUGUGCAAGGUUGUAUUCUCUCACAACGUAUCCGGCGCCUUUUAUAGCAAACAGAUAUUCCCUUCAAGUUUGGACCUUCAAACGACAAGACGAAAGCGCUACAUGGUCGACUUGGUUUUUUGAUUCACCAUCGUUAAACAUUAGUCAGCAUCCAGAAUUUGGUUGCUUGCCAAACUCUCCUCCUUGGGGCUUAUCACGAAUACCAAAAUGGAGAUUGACCGCCGCCAUUAUCUUUCAGUGGAAAAUCAUUUCUAUUGAGAGUAUAUGAUAAACGUUACACUUACUAUUCGUUCUAAUAAAUUAAACUAACCAAUCAUGUGUGUAUCUAUUUAUCUAUCUAUCUCUUUCACUUUCUUUUUUGAAUGCAUGUAAUUCAAAACGAACUUGACUUUUAUUAACCUAUCCUAUUAGACACGAUGAUCUUCCAUCGUAACAUAUUUAUCUGAAAAUGACCAUGUAUCAUGACAUACGUAAAUAUAUAUCCACGAAUAUAUGUAUUUUCAUAACGACCGUGCCUUCGAGGGUGCAACAAGGUGUUUUUAGACAGAGCACGAUGAUUGGACGUAGGCCAAGUGCACUAGGAACAAGGUUUCAUAAUCUAAUACACUUAGCAUGACUUUACUGAUGACUUCAAUGUGAUAUCAAAUUGUAAUUUCUAAUGAAUUUAGAUGUAAAAACAAUUCUGAUUAAAAAACACUUUCCCAAUAAA